CCUACGGGAGGCAGCAGUGGGGAAUAUUGCACAAUGGGGGAAACCCUGAUGCAGCAACGCCGCGUGAGUGAAGAAGUAUUUCGGUAUGUAAAGCUCUAUCAGCAGGGAAGAAGAUGACGGUAUCUGAAUAAGAAGCCCCGGCUAACUACGUGCCAGCAGCCGCGGUAAUACGUAGGGGGCAAGCGUUAUCCGGAUUUAUUGGGUGUAAAGGGAGCGCAGACGGCAGUGCAAGUCUGGAGUGAAAGCUCGGGGCCCAACCCCGGAACUGCUCUGGAAACUGUGCGGCUAGAGUACUGGAGGGGCAGGCGGAAUUCCUAGUGUAGCGGUGAAAUGCGUAGAUAUUAGGAGGAACACCAGUGGCGAAGGCGGCCUGCUGGACAGUAACUGACGUUGAGGCUCGAAAGCGUGGGGAGCAAACAGGAUUAGAUACCCGAGUAGUC
rnacentral:rRNA from 1 species